ACGCUCGACACCUACGGGAGGCAGCAGUGGGGAAUAUUGCACAAUGGGGGAAACCCUGAUGCAGCGACGCCGCGUGGAGGAAGAAGGUCUUCGGAUUGUAAACUCCUGUUGUUGGGGAAAAAGAGGAUGGUACCCAACAAGGAAGUGACGGCUAACUACGUGCAAGCAGCCGCGGUAAUCUGAGGCGGGCGUGGCAAGGC
rnacentral:rRNA from 1 species